rnacentral:rRNA from 1 species
CCUACGGGGGACUGCAGUCGAGAAUCAUUCACAAUGGGGGAAACCCUGAUGGUGCGACGCCGCGUGGGGGAAUGAAGGUCUUCGGAUUGUAAACCCCUGUCAUGUGGGAGCAAAUUAAAAAGAUAGUACCACAAGAGGAAGAGACGGCUAACUCUGUGCCAGCAGCCGCGGUAAUACAGAGGUCUCAAGCGUUGUUCGGAAUCACUGGGCGUAAAGCGUGCGUAGGCUGUUUCGUAAGUCGUGUGUGAAAGGCGCGGGCUCAACCCGCGGACGGCACAUGAUACUGCGAGACUAGAGUAAGGGAGGGGGAACCGGAAUGCUCGGUGUAGCAGUGAAAUGCGUAGAUAUCGAGAGGAACACUCGUGGCGAAGGCGGGUUCCUGGACAUUAACUGACGCUGAGGCACGAAGGCCAGGGGAGCGAAAGGGAUUAGAUACCCCUGUAGUC